GAAAUGCGAUAAGUAAUGUGAAUUGCAGAAUUCAGUGAAUCAUCGAAUCUUUGAACGCACAUUGCGCCCGCCAGUAUUCUGGCGGGCAUGCCUGUUCGAGCGUCAUUACAACCCUCAGGCCCCCGGGCCUGGCGUUGGGGAUCGGCGGAACCCCCCUGCGGGCACAACGCCGUCCCCCAAAUACAGUGGCGGUCCCGCCGCAGCUUCCAUUGCGUAGUAGCUAACACCUCGCAACUGGAGAGCGGCGCGGCCACGCCGUAAAACACCCAACUUCUGAAUGUUGACCUCGAAUCAGGUAGGAAUACCCGCUGAACUUAAGC
rnacentral:misc_RNA from 1 species